rnacentral:rRNA from 1 species
AGUGAACGCUGGCGGUAGGCCUAACACAUGCAAGUCGAACGGCAGCACAGUAAGAGCUUGCUCUUACGGGUGGCGAGUGGCGGACGGGUGAGGAAUACAUCGGAAUCUACUUUUUCGUGGGGGAUAACGUAGGGAAACUUUCGCUAAUACCGCAUACGACCUACGGGUGAAAGCAGGGGAUCUUCGGACCUUGCGCGAUUGAAUGAGCCGAUGUCGGAUUAGCUAGUUGGCGGGGUAAAGGCCCACCAAGGCGACGAUCCGUAGCUGGUCUGAGAGGAUGAUCAGCCACACUGGAACUGAGACACGGUCCAGACUCCUACGGGAGGCAGCAGUGGGGAAUAUUGGACAAUGGGCGCAAGCCUGAUCCAGCCAUACCGCGUGGGUGAAGAAGGCCUUCGGGUUGUAAAGCCCUUUUGUUGGGAAGGAAAAGCAGCAGGUUAAUACCCCGCUGUUCUGACGGUACCCAAAGAAUAAGCACCGGCUAACUUCGUG